ACUUAGAUGUAGAGUUUUAUGGACCAAAGUGAUGCACAUAAAUAAUAACCGCAUAAGUUUUUUAGAUAGACAUAUAUUUUUCAAAAUAAUUAUCUUAAAGAUCAUAAGCUAAUUUUAGCUUAAUUAGGCAUGGUCUCUCUCGUUUGGCCUCAGAUUCAGAGUCACCACCUUUUUUUUCACCUGAUAUCAAGGGUCAUGGUGGAGUAGAUACUGGAAAUAUUUUGCUUGCUUGAUUAGAUGGCUAUUGGGACCCUAAGUUUAUUGACAAUGGUUCGAUUCGAGAGUGGGAGUUUCAAUGGCCUACCUCCUCCUCGCUCCCCCAAGUUGUCGCCACAUAGUCACAUCUCACUCACUAAGCCAUCUUGGGUUGUGAGAACGGAGUCAAAUGUUAAGAAGAAGAGAAGAAAGAAGCCGGAUCCGCAUUGUGUAGUCUGUGAGGGGAGUGGACGAGUCGAUUGCCACCAGUGUCGUGGGAAGGGAAGGACAAACCAGGUUCAUUUGGAAAUGCUCCCGAAAGGUGACUGGCCAAAAUGGUGUAGAACUUGUGGCGGAAGCGGUCUUGGUUACUGCUCCCGUUGCCUUGGUACUGGAGAAUAUAGGCUUUUGUGGGAAUAUGAUAUUUGUUGUCGAUGCCAGCUGAGUAUUAUUUACAAUGCAAAUAGGUGAAGGGUGUGACAACGGACCUCGCCUUGCAGACUCCAUUUCACAGUGGAGCCAAUGGCAGUUGCUUGAUUCUCUUCUACCCACCGGCGGCUUUGCUCACUCUUUUGGCCUUGAAGCAGCAGUUCAGUCCAACCUGGUCUUAAAUCCAGAUGAACUCAAGACAUUCAUUAUCCAUGUCUUGGAGAAUACAGGAAGCUUACUCCUUCCUUUUGUGAACUCGGCUUCUGUGUCGCCCAAUUUGGAAACCUGGCACAAUCUUAACAAAAUAUUGGAUGCCACACUGACAAAUGAAGUCAGCCGAAAGGCAUCGAUCUCACAAGGGUCUGCACUAAUGAGGGUGGGUUUGGCCGUGUUCUCGGAACACUCUUCUUUGAAAACAAUGAGAAAUGCUUCUUUGGGGUCAGGUACUGUAUCUUUUCACCAUGCUCCUAUAUUUGGACUUAUAUGUGGCACACUAGGAUUAGAUAGUACUGAUUCUCAAAGAGCUUAAAUGUACAUCACAAUGAGGGAUGUUAUUUCUGCUGCUACAAGAUUGAAUUUGAUAGGUCCUCUUGGUGCUGCAGUUUUGCAGCAUCAACUUGCUCCUAAUGCUGAAGGUAUACUAGAAAAAUGGAAGAAUCGCGAGGUUGACGAUGCAUGCCAAGUUGCACCUCUGCUAGAUACAGUGCAGGGUUGCCAUGGUUAUUUGUUUUCUCGGCUCUUUUCGUCUUAGAAGGCACAAACAUAAGGCUGAUAUUGUAUUUUUCAUAAUAUGAAGCACAUAGACAUAGUAGAGUUUUGACUGGAAGAGACAACGUUAAAUUUUUUGGUAAAUUGAAUUUUCUUGUUUCUUGUGA